rnacentral:lncRNA from 1 species
UUGAUUUGAUACCAAGCAUUGUCUGAUAAAGAGAGAAAGAGAGUACAUCAAAGUGAUAGAAUUGAUGUUGAUGAUUAUUAAAAGAAAGAUACUGUUACAUGAGAAUUCUCAUUGAAGAGCACUAGUUGCAGGCAACAAUGCAGGAAAGGGUAAGCAAAGCUUCAAUCAAGAAUCACCAUGACUAUCUGGUUUUUGGAAGCUGUAUUUGUUCUCUGAAGAUGCCACCUUAUUCUUCUUUCUUUGCAAUCUUCUACCUACUUUUGAUGCUAUUCUUAAAACAGACUCCAUUAUAAUGGAUAUGAUUCUAACCUUGAUCUGCCCUCUUUUUGGAGGUACCCUUUUUUGCUUUACCUCACCUUCUGCCUUUUCCAUAGCCAAGUUACAGACUUGAAGGAAUUUCAGAGAAAAGAAAAUAUUAGCAUCAACUGAUCAAACUGAG